rnacentral:rRNA from 1 species
UUUUCAUAGCUCCAUUCUAAAGCAGAAUUGUCUGCGGCAGACCGAUGUCCCACGCGUUGACACGUACCUUUUGCUACGCACCAACUGAUGUACACUUCGGCUAAGACCGCAUAAACCCCUACCGAUAAAGAUUUAUCGCCGACAGAUCGGCCCGCCCCUGAUUAACUAAUAGGGGAUUUUAUGACUCACCAAGGCGACCAUCAUAACCUCGCCUUAGAGCAUGAUCUGCCACAUUGGGACUGACACACCCGCCAAACUCCUACGGAAGUGACCAGUGCCCAAUAUUGCACAAUGGUUACCAGCCUGAUCCACCCUUGACGGGUGAGUUAUGAAGGACCUACGGUUGUAAAGCUCUUUUCUCCGUGCAGAACAUGACCGUACCUCUAGAAUAAGCCCCUGCUAACUUCGUGCCAGCAGCCGCGUUCAUACCAAGCGAGCUAACGAAGUCCGUAACCACAGUCCGCAAAGGGUGUGUAGACGGCUCUUAAAGUCAUGCGCGAAAUCCUGGAGCUCAACUCCUGAACCGCCUUUGAUACUGAACACCUUCAGUUCCGUAGAGUUGAAUGCAACCGCCCGUGCUCACGAGACAUUCGUAUAUAUUCGCAAGAUCCCCCGCUGGUAAGGAGGCUCACUGGCCCCAUACUUACGCUGAAUCACGAAAGCUCUACCAGCAAAACGGAUCUAGUACCCUGGCAGCCCACGCCGUACACAAUGAAUGCCACCCGUUAGUGGGCCGACUCCCUAACGGGGCAGCUUUACCAUUAAAGCCUUCCUCCUGGGGAAUACUGGA